GCCCGGGUGGUGGAAUGGCAGACACAAGGGACUUAAAAUCCCUUGACCGCAAGGUCGUGCGGGUUCGACCCCCGCCCCGGGCACCA
rnacentral:tRNA from 1 species